GUAAGGCUAGGACAAUGAAGGUCUUGUGAAGCGUGUCAGAUCCGGAAGGAAGCAGCACUAAGCAGGGUCCUUCAUGUGUCUGAUUGAAUGCCUAUAGAA
rfam:Enterococcus sp. RIT-PI-f contig_2, whole genome shotgun sequence.